GGGAUUGGUCAUCGUUCUAUAGAGAAAACAAUAGUUGGAGUUUAGAUACCAACAUAUGUAUCACAUGUAUAUGUAUGUGCAUGUGAUAUAUACCUGAUGAUCCACAGUUGGAUUGUAUUUAGGGUCAUCUUCUUCUAGGCGCCUGUGAGGUCUUGGUGGGUUUGGUUCAUACUCAGGUGGAGUAGAAUACGAUCAACAAUCAUCGUCCUCCUCCUUCGAGGAUUCAACAUCCGGUCCGGGCUGUUGUUCUCCCCCAUCUUGCAAUGGAGAGUUGACUAAUUUGGUGGCAUCUGGU
rnacentral:lncRNA from 1 species